rnacentral:lncRNA from 15 species
CAUUUUCUAAAGUAACCCUCCUUAUUUCCUGUUUAGGGAACGUUUUAUACAAUUCUGUCUAUUUUAUGUAUGUUUUAUAAUUUUUUAACAAUCACACAUACUAUAUAGGCUGAUUUUUGACUAAUUCAGUGUCCCUGGCGCUUGGCCAUUGUUCUAUUAGACAAUUUACAUUUACUUUUUCUCCACAAAGGUGAAUCAAAUGCUAAGAUAUAGGCCUACUGUGUAAGUUUUCUUACACACCUUAAGUUCAAGAAGGCCUCAUGACCCCCUGUCAAGCUUUGGCAACCCAUAGCGGGGGUCCCGAGCCCCAGGUUGGGAACCACUGCCUUAAACAAUUCCAGGAGACAACCGGAGGAAUGUAGACAUCUUGUUUUGACGGGAAACACUCGAUGGAUCGCCACACGUGUGCUCUCACUCAGGAAGAGAACAUUGUUGCACCAUAUUGGAUCA